AAGAAUCACCUGGGGAUCUUGUAAAAAUGGAGGUUCUGGUUCAGUAGUUCUGGGUGGGACUUGAGAUCCUGCAAUUCUAACAAGCUCCCAGGUGAGGCCCAG
rnacentral:pre_miRNA from 1 species